rnacentral:rRNA from 1 species
CAAGGAAUUUUCCACAAUGGGCGAAAGCCUGAUGGAGCAACGCCGCGUGUGGGAUGACGCUUUUCGGAGUGUAAACCACUGUUCAUGGGGACGAAGCACUGACGGUACCCAUGGAGGAAGGCCCGGCUAACUACGUGCCAGCAGCCGCGGUAAUACGUAGGGGUCGAGCGUUGUCCGGAGUUACUGGGCGUAAAGCGCAUGCAGGCGGCUCAUUACGCAUGGCGUGAAAGCCCCCGGCUUAACCGGGGAGGGUCGUCGUGUACGGGUGAGCUUGAGGGUAUCAGGGGCUGGUGGAAUUCCCGGUGUAGUGGUGAAAUGCGUAGAGAUCGGGAGGAACACCUGUGGCGAAGGCGGCCAGCUGGGAUACACCUGACGCUGAGAUGCGAAGGCGUGGGGAGCGAACG